CUUUUGACCUCGGAUCAGGUAGGGAUACCCGCUGAACUUAAGCAUAUCAAUAAGCGGAGGAAAAGAAACCAACAGGGAUUGCCCUAGUAACGGCGAGUGAAGCGGCAACAGCUCAAAUUUGAAAUCUGGCUCUUUCAGAGUCCGAGUUGUAAUUUGCAGAGGGCGCUUUGGCUUUGGCAGCGGUCCAAGUUCCUUGGAACAGGACGUCACAGAGGGUGAGAAUCCCGUACGUGGUCGCUAGCUAUUGCCGUGUAAAGCCCCUUCGACGAGUCGAGUUGUUUGGGAAUGCAGCUCUAAAUGGGAGGUAAAUUUCUUCUAAAGCUAAAUAUUGGCCAGAGACCGAUAGCGCACAAGUAGAGUGAUCGAAAGAUGAAAAGCACUUUGGAAAGAGAGUCAAACAGCACGUGAAAUUGUUGAAAGGGAAGCGCUUGCAGCCAGACUUGCUUGCAGUUGCUCAUCCGGGCUUUUGCCCGGUGCACUCUUCUGUAGGCAGGCCAGCAUCAGUUUGGGCGGUGGGAUAAAGGUCUCUGUCACGUACCUCUCUUCGGGGAGGCCUUAUAGGGGAGACGACAUACCACCAGCCUAGACUGAGGUCCGCGCAUCUGCUAGGAUGCUGGCGUAAUGGCUGUAAGCGGCCCGUCUUGAAACACGGACCAAGGAGUCUAACAUCUAUGCGAGUGUUUGGGUGUCAAGCCCGAGCGCGUAAUGAAAGUGAACGGAGGUGGGAACCCGCAAGGGUGCACCAUCGACCGAUCCUGAAGUUUACGGAAGGAUUUGAGUAAGAGCAUGGCUGUUGG
rnacentral:rRNA from 1 species